AGAGGUGGCAGUGGCUCUCUGCGGCUGCGAUUUCUUUCUCGGAGCGUCCUCCCCAUCCCGUUCGGCCUCUGCCUCCACCGUCGUCUCUGUAACCCGUUCCCUGUGGGAGAGUCUCUGUUGCGGUGUUCAGGGGUUUCGGUUUUCUGGCUGAACAGUGAUUAACGCGAGGGAAGGCGCUGACGGCAAGGUGGCAGGAAGAACAUUCCAACACAGACCACAACACCUAUGGACCUGGAAAACAUUGUGCUCAGUGAAAGAAGCCAGACACAGAAGGACAAUGUUGUAUGAGGUACCUGGGAUGGGCAGAUUCUGAGAGAUGGAAAAUAGAAUAGAGAUUACCUGGAGAGAGGGGGGAAUUGUUGAAUGAGGACAGAGUUUGUGUUGGGGAUGAUGGAAAAGUUUUGGAUACAGAGAGUUAUGACGAGUAUACAGCAUUGUGAAUUUUUUUUCUUUUCUUUGUUUUUUGUGACAAGGUCUUAUUCUGUUGCCCAGGCUGGACUGCAGUGGUGCAAUCCUAGCUCACUGCAGCUUCGACCUCCCGUGCUCAAGUGAUUUUCCCACCUCAGCCUCCCGAGUAGCUGGGACUACAGGUGCGUGCCACCACGCCUGGCUGAUUUUUCUUGUAUUUUUUUGUAGAGAUGGGGGUAUCGCUAUGUUGCCCAGGCUGGUCUUGAACACUUGGGCUCAAGUAAUUCUCCCGCCUUGGCCUCCCAAAGUGCUGGGAUUACAGGUGUGAGCCACUGUGCCUAGUGUGAAUGCAUUUAAUGCCACUGAAUUGUACACUUAAUAAUGGUGAAAAAUAUAAAUAUUCUGUUAAAUAUUUUACCACAAUAAAAAAAUGUGUGACAGUUGUCAGAAUCAAAA
ensembl:lncRNA LINC01273 long intergenic non-protein coding RNA 1273